UUUCUCCCAAAGUGCCACCGCUCCGCCUCCUCUUUUCGCAAUAUUGACGCAAUGUAUAAAUACUGGAACAAAAGGAGAACUUCCUCGAAGCUUGCUCAAACUGCACAAAAGGCUGCAAGCUUCAUUGUUAGGCAGAUGGGCAUCUCGAAUUGGAGUAUAUUUUGCUAGAAUCUGAAACGACAGGUCAUCGUGCAAAUACGAAGGACUGUGCUUCCCAUGUUUCUUUGGCGCAUAACAGAAUUGCAUCUCAGGAAGAAAUGGGAAGUUUAAAGCAAUGGUGUGCAUAAAGCUACAUAAUGGUAUGGUCUGACUGCCAUACUACAGAUGCCGUAAUAUUUUGCAGGUGACGAAUGAUCCAGAUCAGGUUUAAAA